UUGGCUUGGACUUGCAAACUUUUUCAAUGUGUCCAAAUUUUUUGCAAGACCUGCAUUGAACACCAGGUUUGUACCAUCAAAAUUUCUCCAAAUGAUUAGUUUGUUUGCAAUUUGGACAUGGAGGAAACUUCCCUUUCCUUUCUGCAUUCUUGCUGCUGUCACCUUCUUUUUUAUUCCUUAUAUCAUUAAACUUUUUUCCUUUUGAGUUGAACUGAACUUUCUCUUUGCUUUUCAUAACAAGAGCUGCCUCAGUAUUGUCUUCCUGCCUCAAAUUCCUUCUUUGUUGUGUUGCUUGUAGUGCAUUAACAAGCUCUGCUAGUGAAAUUU
rnacentral:lncRNA from 1 species